CCAAUAGCGUAUAUUAAAGUUGUUGCAGUUAAAAAGCUCGUAGUUGAAUUUCAGGCCUGGCUGGACGGUCCGCCCUUCGGGUGAGUACUGUCUGUGGUCGGGUCCUACCUUCUGGCGAAGCGUCAUGGCCUUAACCGGCCGUGGCGGGGAACCAGGACUUUUACUGUGAAAAAAUUAGAGUGUUCAAAGCAGGCAAAUCGCUUGGAUACAUUAGCAUGGAAUAAUGGAAUAGGAAAAUGGUUCUAUUUGUUGGUUUCUAGGACCGUUGUAAUGAGUAAUAGGGAUAGUUGGGGGCAUUAGUAUUCAAUUGUCAGAGGUGAAAUUCUUGGAUUUAUUGAAGACUAACUACUGCGAAAGCAUUUGCCAAGGAUGUUUUCAUUAAUCAAGAACGAAAGUUAGGGGAUCGAAGACGAUCAGAUACCGUCGUAGUCUUAACCAUAAACUAUGCCGACUAGGAAUCGGGCGAUGUUGAAAAAAUGACGCGCUCGGCACCUCAUG
rnacentral:misc_RNA from 1 species